AAAACUUUUUAAGAAAUCGAAAAGAUUUUAUAGCCUAAAUUAUUUAAGGCCUAGUGAAAGGCUAAUUUGAUUAUCGAUCUAUGCAGGAGUCUUACUUAAAUAGAAGACUGCAAGUAGUCGAUCCUCUAUUUUAAAUAGAAUUUUAUAGCCUAAUUAAUUUUUCAAAAACUUUUUAAGAACCAAAAAGAUUUUAUAGCCUAAAUUAUUUAAGGCCUAGUGAAAGGCUAAUUUGAUUAUCGAUCUAUGCAGGAGUAUUACUUAAAUAGAAGACUGCAAGCAGCCGAUCCUCUAUUUUAUUUCUUCUUACUAUAAUUAAACAUCCUAAAUUGUUUGAUUUAAGCCCUUCGGAUAGUCCAACUUUUUCAUGGACAUCAAUUCUGUAAGCACAAACGGAACAAGCCUGAAAAGAGGAUAAAAUUUUUGUUGAAGCAAAUUAAAUCCAUCCCAUGUAAUUAGGACCCUCGCCCCUUGCUCGACUCGUUGAUGGCUUAUGAGUUUUUUGGUCUGAAAUUGAAGAAGGAUCCUUAAAUUUUAGAUAAUUAAUCUAUCCAA
rnacentral:lncRNA from 1 species